UACAUGUGGGGCAAGCGCUGUUCGGAAUUACUGGGCAUAAAGGGUGCGUAGGUGGUUUGUUAAGUCACGGGUGAAAGUUUUCGGCCCAACCGGAAAAUUGCCCGUGAUACUGGCGAACUUGAGUGCGUGAGGGGUAACCGGAACGAGCAGUGUAGCGGUGAAAUGCGUAGAUAUUGCUCGGAAGGCCAGAGGCGAAGGCGGGUUACUGGUGCGCAACUGACACUGAGGCACGAAAGCGUGGGGAGCAAACAGG
rnacentral:rRNA from 1 species